UUCUCGGUUAUUGCAGCUCAAUCUCUCAAUCUUUCUUCAUUUACGGUGGCCACCUCCACGCCGAGAUGCCGCCGCCGUAUUCCAGACGUCGCCGCUGCCCAUUUCUCAUUUCUUGUUCAGCCUCAUCAUCUCUCUCUGUGUGGAUGAGAUGCCGGUGGAGCUGCUCGUCGAGUGUCUUCAGAUCUAUCUGAUCCGCCCUCACAAAUCCGCCGCCGGUGUGGAUGUCUCCCUCCACCAUUUCUCCGGAAAGCGCCGAUGCGACGUCAGUGGAGCUCACGGUGGGAACGCGCAAUAAGCGACGAACUUCAACAGCGAAAAGCAAAGCGAGCCGAUAAGUUCGGAUAGUCUAAUUGAUGGGACUCCUAGACCUGCAGUUCAUUCGUCCUGCUUAGUUUUGACUGCUUCUGAUACCAGCACUCAUGGUGGUUUUCUGUCUUUCAUAAACAUGCAAAUGAGUGUCUUCCCCCAUUGAAUAUGAGCCAACAAAUUCUGAGUUGCCAACACCAAAAUUGAUUGCUAAGGAUACACAUGGAAAUGAAUGGCAAUUCAAACAUAUAUUUAGAGAGGAAGAGAAUGGGGUUUUAAGAGUACUAAACGACUAAAAUUGGUGUUGUGCAUUAAAGGAAAUUAUCCCAAUAGAUUGCAAAUAGAUGUGUCAAAAAAGGCAAAUCAUUGAACAUAAAUUGUAAAAUGAGUUGUAGGAACUUCGUGAUCCAAAAUAUGAAUGAGAGAUAGCACUCAAGAUUUCACAGAUGAGGUGCAUCACGGCAAUGGCAAAUACAGAAACAGGAAAGAGAAGGAAAAGAAAAGCGGCUCUCUCUCUUCACUCUACAAUCAUUAUAGAGAGAUGAUAACAUUGCAAGCAUGGGCGGCUACAACACCUACUCUACUGCAUCAAGACAUCACGAUAUUAAAAAAAGGGAUUAAUUGCAUUGGGAAGAGCUGUGAAGAUAUUCUGGAAGAAUAGAAUAUAUAUAUAUUGUGUAAUAGUAUAAUAGUAUUUUCUUUGAAAAGCCUAUGCAAGUAUAGAACACAUAGGCUGCAUCCUAUCCCCACACAAUUCUCGAUACAUACAAAGAAAACUGAUACUAUGAGCUUUACUUUUAA